rnacentral:rRNA from 1 species
UUAUGCGAUUACUGGUGUGAAUUGCAGAAUUCAGUGAAUCAUCGAAUCUUUGAACGCACCUUGCGCCCUUUGGUAUUCCGAGGGGCAUGCCUGUUUGAGUGUCAUUAAAUACCAUCAACCCUCUUUUGACUUCGGUCUCGAGAGUGGCUUGGAAGUGGAGGUCUGCUGGAGCCUAACGGAGCCAGCUCCUCUUAAAUGUAUUAGCGGAUUUCCCUUGCGGGAUCGCGUCUCCGAUGUGAUAAUUUCUACGUCGUUGACCAUCUCGGGGCUGACUUAGUCAGUUUCAAUAGGAGUCUGCUUCUAACCGUCUCUUGACUGAGACUAGCGACUUGUGCGCUAACUUUUGACUUGACCUCAAAUCAGGUAGGACUACCCGCUGAACUUAAGCAUAUCAAAAGGCGGAGGAA